rnacentral:rRNA from 1 species
UCAGGAUGAACGCUAGCUACAGGCUUAACACAUGCGAAGUCGAGGGGCAGCAUUGGAGUAGCAAUACUCAGAUGGCGACCGGCGCACGGGUGAGUAACACGUAUCCAACCUGCCGCUUACUCGGGGAUAGCCUUCGAAAGAAAGAUUAAUACCCGAUGGUAUAAAGAGUUCGCAUGUUCUCUUUAUUAAAGAAUUUCGGUAAGCGAUGGGGAUGCGUUCCAUUAGAUUGUUGGCGGGGUAACGGCCCACCAAGUCUACGAUGGAUAGGGGUUCUGAGAGGAAGGUCCCCCACAUUGGAACUGAGACACGGUCCAAACUCCUACGGGAGGCAGCAGUGAGGAAUAUUGGUCAAUGGACGAGAGUCUGAACCAGCCAAAAGUAGCGUGAAGGAUGACUGCCCUAUGGGUUGUAAACUUCUUUUAUAAGGGAAUAAAGUGAGGGACGUGUCCCUUUUUGUAUGUACCUUAUGAAUAAGGAUCGGCUAACUCCGUGCCAGCCGCCGC